rnacentral:rRNA from 1 species
UUGGAGGGCAAGUCUGGUGCCAGCAGCCGCGGUAAUUCCAGCUCCAAUAGCGUAUAUUAAAGUUGUUGCAGUUAAAAAGCUCGUAGUUGAAUUUCGGGGUCAGUAGGUUGGUCAUGCCACUGGUAUGUACUGGCCUCACUGAUUCCUCCUUCCUGAUGAGCCGUAAUGCCAUUAAUUUGGUGUUGCGAGGAAUCUGGACUGUUACUUUGAAAAAAUUAGAGUGUUUAAAGCAGGCUAACGCUUGAAUACAUUAGCAUGGAAUAAUGAAAUAGGACGUUCGAUCUUAUUUUGUUGGUUUCUAAGAUUGACGUAAUGAUUAAUAGGGAUAGUUGGGGGCAUUAGUAUUCAAUUGUCAGAGGUGAAAUUCUUGGAUUUAUUGAAGACUARCUACUGCGAAAGCAUUUGCCAAGGAUGUUUUCAUUAAUCAAGAACGAAAGUUAGGGGAUCGAAGACGAUCAGAUACCAUCGUAGUCUUAACCAUAAACUAUGCCGACUAGGGAUCGGAUGAUGUUAAUUUUUUAAUGACUCAUUCGGCGCCUUACGGGAAAC